UCAAACCUAACUUGCCAUUAUCAUAUUAUAUGAAAGUGGACCAUUUGAGUCUGCUAUUCCCUCAUCACGUGGGCCAUUGUCGACUCUCUUUCUCUCUUCUCUCUGAGUCCCAUUAUAGCCGUCUUUUCCUUUGCUCUUAUAUCUCUAACCUAAGCCUCAAAUCCAUUUCAACGCACUAACAAUUUCUUUCCUCUCUAUUUUUUCCAAACUCAAUUUACUAUGACAUUCAUACAUGCCGACCACCCACAUACACCACGGAUUUGAGUGUUCUUGAAAUAUUUCAAGUUUCAAAUUCUUUUUUUAUUUUUUUUAUUUUUAUUGUGGGUUUUUCUUCCGGCCGCCGGCAAGCCACCAUGUUCAACAGAAGAAUCGCCACUUCCUCCUCCUCUUCCUCCACCUCUGCUUUUGCUAUACUAAUUUUGAUCCUCUGGGUGUCACAGAUUUGGGUUUGUUGUCACUGUCAAGCUAGAGCAUCACGGAUUUUUCCUCCUCCUCCUCCUCCGCCGCCGUCCCCACCGCAUACGACGGAUAAAUCACUCCCUGGUGAAGAAAAAGACAACGCCAAAAAUGAACUUCUCCAAAAAUACUUCAACAGCAGAGCCUUCGAUCGUCACCAUCACCGCCAUGAUGAAGGAUUUGAAGACAGCAAACGGAAAAUCCCCAGUUGUCCAGAUCCUCUUCAUAAUUAUUUUGAAGCCAAAUGGUAACUAUUUCAAAGUGCCUCAUCCAAUGGAGAAUUUGCACUUACUACACCAAACUGAACAUAGAAACGUACAAGAAUGGCCAUGGAAAUUGAAAAAGGGGAUGGAGACGGGAAACAACCUUGUCCAUUGUUGUCCGACUCCGUGAACAUCUCUGGUUUAUUGGUUAGGAAAGGAGAGAUCAAAUUAAACGUUUGAAGAAGAAGAAGAAGAAGAAGAAGAAGAAGAAGAAGAAGAAGAAGAAGAAGAAGAAGAAGAAGAAGAAGAAGAAAGAAAGGGGAAGGGGAAAAAAGGAAGCAAAAAACAAAACAGAGAAACCGAGAUAUGAGAAUACGGCGCGUAUUGCGCGGCGAAGAAGUUGAGAAAAAGCUGCAAUUUAUUUAUACACUUAGCCAAGCAGCAGCCCCCCUGCUUUCUUUGUCGCCUUCUAAUUUGGAUUUUGGAAUCAAUCUUCUCUCUUUUUCCACAUUUUUAUUUUCUUUUCCUUCUUUUAUCACAUUUCUCAUUUAUAGAAUCCCUUCUGUUUUAACAUAAUAAAAUUAUUCUUUGUU